CAAGUGAUACCAGACCGCUAGU
rnacentral:miRNA from 1 species